GACGGAGGGUGCAAACGUUGUUCGGAAUUACUGGGCAUAAAGAGCACGUAGGCGGUCCGCUAAGUUGGGUGUGAAAGCCCCCGGCUCAACCGGGGAAUUGCUCCCGAUACUGGCGGACUAGAGAUCGGUAGGGGUGAGUGGAACUCCAGGUGGAGCGGUGAAAUGCGUAGAUAUCUGGAGGAACACCGGUGGCGAAAGCGGCUCACUGGACCGCAACUGACGCUGAGGUGCGAAAGCUAGGGUAGCGAACGGG
rnacentral:rRNA from 1 species